rnacentral:lncRNA from 1 species
AUCUUGAGUGUGCCUUAAAAUUCCAUUUCAUGGAGAACUGUGCGUGGUUGAAUUUUGAUUGAUUACUCAAUUAACUGAUGUAUUGGUAGAGUGAUUAAGAAAGAAGACUUUGGGAUCAGACCAACCUGGUUUUGAAUUCAAGCUCAGCAACUUACUAGGUAAGGAGGAGAAAAGAAAGAAGGAAAAAUUGGAAAGAUAAAUGGGGUCUUUCCAGUGAAGCCUCCAGGCCUCCAGACUGGAACUUAUACCACUGAUUCUUCUGAAUCUUAGGCCUUUGGACUUGGACUGGAACUAAACCAUCAGCUCUUCUUGUUCUACCACUUGCAGACUGUAUGUCUUGGGACAUGUCAGCCUCUGUAAUCACUGGCCAUGGUCCAUGCCUCCUUUACUACAUCAGAUCCACCUAGUCCCUGGACUAAUCAGAAACACAAGAAAUAAGAAGACCAUUUUGAGAAGAACAGAGAGUAGCCUUAAGAAAAUCCCUGUCGCAAGCACUCUGGGAUUUGGACUCAAAUGCUAAUUAUACAACGUUGGUGGACCAGCCUUAAAACCAACAAUGAUUUGUAACAUUGAUUCUU